rnacentral:rRNA from 1 species
AUGGUGAGGGACAUACUGGCCAAGCACUUGAUUGAAUCUAGAGAAACAUUAUCAUCUUCCAUGGUGGACGCAAAAGGAUUCCAGGCCAUGUACAAAAUGAGAAGAAGCACCUUCAAUCAAGUUUGCAGUUUGGUGAGGAUCUCAUUUUUGGAAGAUAUGAUGGCAAGGGAUCACACCUUUGUCGAUGGGAGAUUGUUGUCUUUGCAAGACAGAGUAGCUGUCGCACUGAGAAUGCUGAACUCUGGUGACUCUCCAGUUACCAUAGGAUCCUCUCUUGGCGUGGAAGAGUCAACUGUCUCGCUGCUAACUAAGGUCUUUGUUGAGGCUAUGUGGGACCGAGCAAUGCACCACUGCAGCUGGCCUGGCUCCACUAAAAUGGACAAGAUCAAGCACAAGUUUGACAAGAUGCACGGCCUGCCAAACUGCUGUGGUGUUGCACAUACAGAUCACAUCACGUUUGGAUCACAUAGUGGUGACCAUGAGGAGAAUGACAGCACGCUAAUGCAAGCCGUGGUUGAUCCAGAUAUGAGGUUCACAAACAUUUGGUUGGGGCCGUCAGGUAGCAUGAACCAGUUGAGCAUUUUGCACGAGUCUAGUCUCUUCAAGUUGAAUGGCAGUAAGCUGAAUUUAUCAGAUGACUUGGAAGUUGGGGAGUACAUAAUUUAUCCUCCCCUGGCUCCUCACACCUUACCACAUGGAAGACAAGGACCCGUCUGCAGAUUUCCCUCCUUAUCAAGCCGAGUUCAACAGGAGACAUUCUUCAGCAUCAACCAUCAUGAUGGCUGCACUCACGAGGUUGAAAGACACUUGGAAGAUCCUAGACAGCGCGGUUGGUUCAUGUCCACCUUUUGCAACAAUCUAUGCAUGUUGCAUACUGCAUAA